rnacentral:rRNA from 1 species
UACAGAGGUCCCAAGCGUUGUUCGGAUUCACUGGGCGUAAAGGGUGCGUAGGCGGUUUGAUAAGUCUGAUGUGAAAUCCCGCAGCUUAACUGCGGAACUGCAUUGGAAACUAUUUGACUAGAGGAAUGGAGGGGAGACUGGAAUACUUGGUGUAGCAGUGAAAUGCGUAGAUAUCAAGUGGAACACCAGUGGCGAAGGCGAGUCUCUGGACAUUUCCUGACGCUGAGGCACGAAGGCCAGGGGAGCAAACGGG